rnacentral:rRNA from 1 species
UUGAUGUUCUAACGUGGACCCGUGAUCCGGGUUGCGGACAGUGUCUGGUGGGUAGUUUGACUGGGGCGGUCUCCUCCUAAAGAGUAACGGAGGAGCACGAAGGUUGGCUAAUCCUGGUCGGACAUCAGGAGGUUAGUGCAAUGGCAUAAGCCAGCUUGACUGCGAGCGUGACGGCGCGAGCAGGUGCGAAAGCAGGUCAUAGUGAUCCGGUGGUUCUGAAUGGAAGGGCCAUCGCUCAACGGAUAAAAGGUACUCCGGGGAUAACAGGCUGAUACCGCCCAAGAGUUCAUAUCGACGGCGGUGUUUGGCACCUCGAUGUCGGCUCAUCACAUCCUGGGGCUGAAGUAGGUCCCAAGGGUAUGGCUGUUCGCCAUUUAAAGUGGUACGCGAGCUGGGUUUAGAACGUCGUGAGACAGUUCGGUCCCUAUCUGCCGUGGGCGCUGGAGAACUGAGGGGGGCUGCUCCUAGUACGAGAGGACCGGAGUGGACGCAUCACUGGUGUUCGGGUUGUCAUGCCAAUGGCACUGCCCGGUAGCUAAAUGCGGAAGAGAUAAGUGCUGAAAGCAUCUAAGCACGAAACUUGCCCCGAGAUGAGUUCUCCCUGAGACUUAGAGUCUCCUGAAGGAACGUUGAAGACGACGACGUUGAUAGGCCGGGUGUGUAAGCGCAGCGAUGCGUUGAGCUAACCGGUACUAAUGAACCGUGAGGCUUAACCUU